GAUGGAUGUGUCAAAUCCAACAUUCCCACAUCAAAAGCUGUAUUUGGAACCAUAUAAGGUUCUCCAUGAUUGUCUUUUAUUAAAUCUACCUCCCAGUUCCACCAUAGCUGUGAGCCUAUCACUGUCUCCCUCUGCCCUACCCAAUCCUGCAGGAGGAUAACAUGUGAUUCUUUACCUGUAGCCAGAAUGCAGAUAUCGGUACAUUGUAGGUCUGUAGCUGAUUCCAAACAUUGCGCACAGCAUCUGUUCCACCUUGCAUUCCCACAACAGCACCAGAUAUUAUCCACUCAGGAAGUUCUGGAGGUCUUCCAAUAGUUUCUGUGAAGUUUUCGAUCAGCUCAGUUGGUGAAUUUCCAUGCAAUAUCCUACCUUGAACAGAGUCUCCAUUGAUCUAAGAAUUACCAAAAAGUUUAGGCUGUUAACUCUUCUAAAAUUGGGAUGUGAAUAUUUAAUUGGCCCGAGAUGCACUGAGAGUAUCAUGGCAGCCUGCAACUGUUGAACAGAUUCUGAUAUUGCACUAUCUAUCGAAAUCUAUGCUGCUAUUAUGUGCUUUUGUACAACCUAUACUACAAAUUCAGAAAGUUGACCACUUAAUGGUCAUAAAUUGGAACACAUCAGAGCAUUUGAUGC